CAGACUUUAUGCGAGUCUAGGUUGACGCUGAUAUUGUACUGGAAUCUUACUUAUUUCAUCCUAAUAAUGUGAUGCUUACAAUACAAGAAGCAGUUGGUUCCACAGUUGCAUGGCCUUCUAAAAAAGUUAUUCCAAGAGAUGUGACAAGCGAAAUAGAAAAUGAUACUUAAUUUUGAAGGCUUUGUGUUGGGCAGCUGUAGAAUAUUUUGUGCUGAAAGUAGUAACUUUUCAAUAUGUUGAAUAUUUAAGACUACUUGAAUACUUAAAGAACAUUUUGUUGUUGAUGACAGUGUUGAAUGUUUUAAACUAAUUUGUGGAUUGUUAAUACAAUGUUGAAUGUUUUUACUUUUUGUUAUUUGAAAAUCAAGUUCAAUUGA